rnacentral:rRNA from 1 species
AUUGAACGCUGGCGGCAUGCCUUACACAUGCAAGUCGAACGGUAACGCGGGGCAACCUGGCGACGAGUGGCGAACGGGUGAGUAAUGCAUCGGAACGUGCCCAGUAGUGGGGGAUAGCCCGGCGAAAGCCGGAUUAAUACCGCAUACGACCUACGGGUGAAAGCGGGGGACCGUAAGGCCUCGCGCUAUUGGCGCGGCCGAUGUCAGAUUGGGUUGUUGGUGGGGUAAAAGCCUACCAAGCCGACGAUCUGUAGCUGGUCUGAGAGGACGACCAGCCACACUGGGACUGAGACACGGCCCAGACUCCUACGGGAGGCAGCAGUGGGGAAUUUUGGACAAUGGGGGCAACCCUGAUCCAGCCAUGCCGCGUGCGGGAAGAAGGCCUUCGGGUUGUAAACCGCUUUUGUCAGGGAAGAAACGCUCUGGGCUAAUACCCCGGGGUAAUGACGGUACCUGAAGAAUAAGCACCGGCUAACUACGUGCCAGCCACCGCAGUAA